GCGCUCACUUCAGCAGCACAUAUACUAAAACUGGAACAAUACAGAGAAGAUUAGCAUGGCCCCUGUGCAAGGAUGAUACGCAAAUUUGUGAAUCGUUCCAUAUUUUU
ensembl:snRNA U6 U6 spliceosomal RNA